rfam:Bacillus coagulans 36D1, complete genome.
CCUGUGCUACAACCGCUCAGGAACAGGCUUUGCAAGUUUUUACAUUUCGUAAAACGCCUGUCUUUGGCGAGUCUGAGUCUUAAG